rnacentral:sRNA from 1 species
AAUCUGUUGCGGACAAAUAAAAUGAAUAUGAGCGUCAACUCCCCCAGCAGUUACGAUAGAGCCCUCGCCUGCAAUAAUUUCCGUCGCCGCACCAAUCACGAUGUCAACUCCUGGUUGCACAUCUGGGUUACCUGCUUUACCAAUUCCACUGAUACGACCAUCCUUUAUCGCAAUAUCAGCUUUGAUAAUUCCCGUAUGGUCAACAAUUAAAGCAUUCGUAAUGACUGUGUCCGCAACCGCGUCGGCAGGUCUCUGACCCUGUCCCAUUCCGUCAC